GACCGCGUAGCUCAGUUGGAAGAGCAUUGGGCUAGUAUCCAAAGGUCGUAGGUUCGAAUCCUACCGUGGCCG
rnacentral:tRNA from 1 species